UACGGAGGGUGCAAGCGUUAUCCGGAUUCACUGGGUUUAAAGGGUGCGUAGGCGGGUAAUUAAGUCAGUGGUGAAAUCUCGGAGCUUAACUCCGAAACUGCCAUUGAUACUAUUUAUCUUGAAUAUUGUGGAGGUUUGCGGAAUAUGUCAUGUAGCGGUGAAAUGCUUAGAUAUGACAUAGAACACCUAUUGCGAAGGCAGCAGGCUACACAUAUAUUGACGCUGAGGCACGAAAGCGUGGGGAUCAAACAGGAUUAGAAACCCCGGUAGUCC
rnacentral:rRNA from 1 species